rnacentral:rRNA from 1 species
CUAGGUGUAGGCGGUAUUCCACGCCGUCUGUGCCGCAGCUAACGCAUUAAGCACCCCGCCUGGGGAGUACGGCCGCAAGGCUAAAACUCAAAGGAAUUGACGGGGGCCCGCACAAGCAGCGGAGCAUGUGGCUUAAUUCGACGCAACGCGAAGAACCUUACCAAGGCUUGACAUGCAGGGAAAUCCUCCAGAGAUGGGGGGUCCGUAAGGGUCCUGCACAGGUGGUGCAUGGUUGUCGUCAGCUCGUGUCGUGAGAUGUUGGGUUAAGUCCCGCAACGAGCGCAACCCUCGUUCUAUGUUGCCUGCGCGUGAUGGCGGGGACUCAUAGGAGACUGCCGGGGUCAACUCGGAGGAAGGUGGGGACGACGUCAAAUCAUCAUGCCCCUUAUGUCUUGGGCUGCACACAUGCUACAAUGGCCGAUACAAAGGGCUGCUAAGCCGCGAGGUGGAGCGAAUCCCAAAAAGUCGGUCUCAGUUCGGAUUGGGGUCUGCAACUCGACCCCAUGAAGUCGGAGUUGCUAGUAAUCGCAGAUCAGCAACGCUGCGGUGAAUACGUUCCCGGGCCUUGUACACACCGCCCGUCACGUCACGAAAGUC